rnacentral:rRNA from 1 species
GGGUUGUGAGGUUAAGCGACUAAGCGUACACGGUGGAUGCCCUGGCAGUCAGAGGCGAUGAAGGACGUGCUAAUCUGCGAAAAGCGCCGGCGAGGUGAUAUGAACCUUUGACCCGGCGAUGUCCGAAUGGGGAAACCCAGUGUGAUUCGUCACACUAUCGUUAACUGAAUACAUAGGUUAACGAGGCGAACCGGGGGAACUGAAACAUCUAAGUACCCCGAGGAAAAGAAAUCAACCGAGAUUCCCCCAGUAGCGGCGAGCGAACGGGGAGCAGCCCAGAGUCUGAAUCAGCUUGUGUGUUAGUGGAAGCGUCUGGAAAGUCGCACGGUACAGGGUGACAGUCCCGUACACGAAAGCACACAGGUUGUGAACUCGAAGAGUAGGGCGGGACACGUGGUAUCCUGUCUGAAUAUGGGGGGACCAUCCUCCAAGGCUAAAUACUCCUGACUGACCGAUAGUGAACCAGUACCGUGAGGGAAAGGCGAAAAGAACCCCGGCGAGGGGAGUGAAAAAGAACCUGAAACCGUGUACGUACAAGCAGUGGGAGCACCUUCGUGGUGUGACUGCGUACCUUUUGUAUAAUGGGUCAGCGACUUAUAUUCUGUAGCAAGGUUAACCGUAUAGGGGAGCCGAAGGGAAACCGAGUCUUAACUGGGCGUUAAGUUGCAGGGUAUAGACCCGAAACCCGGUGAUCUAGCCAUGGGCAGGUUGAAGGUUGGGUAACACUAACUGGAGGACCGAACCGACUAAUGUUGAAAAAUUAGCGGAUGACUUGUGGCUGGGGGUGAAAGGCCAAUCAAACCGGGAGAUAGCUGGUUCUCCCCGAAAGCUAUUUAGGUAGCGCCUCGUGAACUCAUCUUCGGGGGUAGAGCACUGUUUCGGCUAGGGGGCCAUCCCGGCUUACCAACCCGAUGCAAACUACGAAUACCGAAGAAUGUUAUCACGGGAGACACACGGCGGGUGCUAACGUCCGUCGUGAAGAGGGAAACAACCCAGACCGCCAGCUAAGGUCCCAAAGUCAUGGUUAAGUGGGAAACGAUGUGGGAAGGCACAGACAGCCAGGAUGUUGGCUUAGAAGCAGCCAUCAUUUAAAGAAAGCGUAAUAGCUCACUGGUCGAGUCGGCCUGCGCGGAAGAUGUAACGGGGCUAAACCAUGCACCGAAGCUGCGGCAGCGACGCUUAUGCGUUGUUGGGUAGGGGAGCGUUCUGUAAGCCGUUGAAGGUGUGCUGUGAGGCAUGCUGGAGGUAUCAGAAGUGCGAAUGCUGACAUAAGUAACGAUAAAGCGGGUGAAAAGCCCGCUCGCCGGAAGACCAAGGGUUCCUGUCCAACGUUAAUCGGGGCAGGGUGAGUCGACCCCUAAGGCGAGGCCGAAAGGCGUAGUCGAUGGGAAACAGGUUAAUAUUCCUGUACUUGGUGUUACUGCGAAGGGGGGACGGAGAAGGCUAUGUUAGCCGGGCGACGGUUGUCCCGGUUUAAGCAUGUAGGCGGAACGAUUAGGUAAAUCCGGUCGUUUAUUAACGCUGAGGUGUGAUGACGAGGCACUACGGUGCUGAAGUAACAAAUGCCCUGCUUCCAGGAAAAGCCUCUAAGCAUCAGGUAACAUCAAAUCGUACCCCAAACCGACACAGGUGGUCAGGUAGAGAAUACCAAGGCGCUUGAGAGAACUCGGGUGAAGGAACUAGGCAAAAUGGUGCCGUAACUUCGGGAGAAGGCACGCUGAUAUGUAGGUGAAGCCCCUGCGGGUGGAGCUGAAAUCAGUCGAAGAUACCAGCUGGCUGCAACUGUUUAUUAAAAACACAGCACUGUGCAAACACGAAAGUGGACGUAUACGGUGUGACGCCUGCCCGGUGCCGGAAGGUUAAUUGAUGGGGUUAGCGGUAACGCGAAGCUCUUGAUCGAAGCCCCGGUAAACGGCGGCCGUAACUAUAACGGUCCUAAGGUAGCGAAAUUCCUUGUCGGGUAAGUUCCGACCUGCACGAAUGGCGUAAUGAUGGCCAGGCUGUCUCCACCCGAGACUCAGUGAAAUUGAACUCGCUGUGAAGAUGCAGUGUACCCGCGGCAAGACGGAAAGACCCCGUGAACCUUUACUAUAGCUUGACACUGAACACUGGUCCUUGAUGUGUAGGAUAGGUGGGAGGCUUUGAAGUGUGGACGCCAGUCUGCAUGGAGCCGUCCUUGAAAUACCACCCUUUAAUGGCUGGUGUUCUAACGUAGACCCGUGAUCCGGGUUGCGGACAGUGUCUGGUGGGUAGUUUGACUGGGGCGGUCUCCUCCCAAAGAGUAACGGAGGAGCACGAAGGUUAGCUAAUCCUGGUCGGACAUCAGGAGGUUAGUGCAAUGGCAUAAGCUAGCUUGACUGCGAGAGUGACGGCUCGAGCAGGUGCGAAAGCAGGUCAUAGUGAUCCGGUGGUUCUGAAUGGAAGGGCCAUCGCUCAACGGAUAAAAGGUACUCCGGGGAUAACAGGCUGAUACCGCCCAAGAGUUCAUAUCGACGGCGGUGUUUGGCACCUCGAUGUCGGCUCAUCACAUCCUGGGGCUGAAGUAGGUCCCAAGGGUAUGGCUGUUCGCCAUUUAAAGUGGUACGCGAGCUGGGUUUAGAACGUCGUGAGACAGUUCGGUCCCUAUCUGCCGUGGGCGCUGGAGAAUUGAGGGGGGCUGCUCCUAGUACGAGAGGACCGGAGUGGACGCAUCACUGGUGUUCGGGUUGUCAUGCCAAUGGCACUGCCCGGUAGCUAAAUGCGGAAAAGAUAAGUGCUGAAAGCAUCUAAGCACGAAACUUGCCCCGAGAUGAGUUCUCCCUGAGACUUUAAGUCUCCUGAAGGAACGUUGAAGACGACGACGUUGAUAGGUCGGGUGUGUAAGCGCAGCGAUGCGUUGAGCUAACCGAUACUAAUGAACCGUGAGGCUUAACCUUACAACGCCGAAGGUGUUU